rnacentral:rRNA from 1 species
UACGGAGGGUGCGAGCGUUGUCCGGAAUCACUGGGCGUAAAGGGCGCGUAGGUGGCGCGGGAAGUCAACGGUGAAAGUUCGGGGCUCAACCCUGAAUCGGCCGUCGAUACUCCCGGGCUCGAGCACUGUAGAGGCAGAUGGAAUUCCGGGUGUAGCGGUGGAAUGCGUAGAGAUCCGGAAGAACACCAGUGGCGAAGGCGAUCAUCUGGGGUUGUUCUGACACUGAGGAGCGAAAGCUGAGGGAGCAAA